rnacentral:rRNA from 1 species
UGGGGAAUAUUGCACAAUGGGCGCAAGCCUGAUGCAGCCAUGCCGCGUGUAUGAAGAAGGCCUUCGGGUUGUAAAGUACUUUCAGUCGGGAGGAAGGUGGUAAGGUUAAUAACCUUAUCAAUUGACGUUACCGACAGAAGAAGCACCGGCUAACUCCGUGCCAGCAGCCACGGUAAUACGGAGGGUGCAAGCGUUAAUCGGAAUUACUGGGCGUAAAGCGCACGCAGGCGGUUGAUUGAGUCAGAUGUGAAAUCCCCGGGCUUAACCCGGGAAUUGCAUCUGAUACUGGUCAGCUAGAGUCUUGUAGAGGGGGGUAGAAUUCCAUGUGUAGCGGUGAAAUGCGUAGAGAUGUGGAGGAAUACCGGUGGCGAAGGCGGCCCCCUGGACGAAGACUGACGCUCAGGUGCGAAAGCGUGGGGAGCAAACAGG